GACGAACGCUGGCGGCGUGCCUAAUACAUGCAAGUCGAGCGGACUGAUUAAGAGCUUGCUCUUAUGACGUUAGCGGCGGACGGGUGAGUAACACGUGGGCAACCUGCCCUGUAGAUCGGGAUAACACCGAGAAAUCGGUGCUAAUACCGGGUAAUAUCUGCGAUCACAUGAUCUUAGGUUAAAAGAUGGCUCCGGCUAUCACUACAGGCUGUGCCCGCGGCGCAUUAGCUAGUUGGUAAGGUAAUGGCUUACCAAGGCGACGAUGCGUGGCCGACCUGAGAGGGUGAUCGGCCACACUGGGACUGAGACACGGCCCAGACUCCUACGGGAGGCAGCAGUAGGGAAUCUUCCGCAAUGGACGAAAGUCUGACGGAGCAACGCCGCGUGAGUGAUGAAGGGGUUCGGCUCGUAAAGCUCUGUUGUUAGGGAAGAAACAGUACCGAACGAACUAGGUCGGUACCUUGACGGUACCUAACCAGAAAGCCACGGCUAACUACGUG
rnacentral:rRNA from 1 species